rnacentral:sRNA from 1 species
GCUCUUUCGCGAUUCGGUGGUUGGUGGUGCAUGGCCGUUCUUAGUUGGUGGAGCGAUCUGUCUGGUUUAUUCCGAUAACGAGCGAGACUCUAGCCUACUAAAUAGUUUCUGGAUCUUCGGAUCUAGCGAACUUCUUAGAGGAAUCGGCGGCUUCGAUCCGCAUGAAAUAGAGCAAUAACAGGUCUGUGAUGCCCUUAGAUGUCCGGGGCUGCACGCGAGUUACUAUGGAGAAUCCAACGUGUCUACCUUGGCCGAAGGGUCUGGGCAAGCCGUUGAAACGUCUCUUUGAUCGGGAUAGGGAAUUGUGCAAUUAUUUCCCUUAAACGAGGAAUUCCUAGUAAGAACGAGUCAUCAACUCGUUCUGAUUUGGUCCCUGCGCUUUGUACACACCGCCCGUCGCUACCCGGGACUGAACUGUUUCGAGAAAACCGGGGAUUGACUCACGGGACUUGUUCCUUGUGGUGUUGAGAACCAGUUUAAUCGCGAUGGUUUGAACCGGGUAAAAGUCGUAACAAGGUACCGGUAGGUGAACCUGCCGGUGGAUCAAUACUGAAUAUAGACUCAAGUAGUUUUUUAUUCGGUGAUCAACCCCCUGCCUUUAAAACGGUUAUAAUUGGCGUCUAUACGUACUGCUAACGCUCGCGGACCGUCGACGUGUAUUGAUCAGUAUGCAUAGCAUUCAUUAACUCUCACAUAUAUACUUCGUUGUGUACAUGUGAGUGUUGAUGGAUGUUAGACUUAAUGAAGGUCCGCUCCGGAUUUCGCCAAUAUCAUAUUUAUUGUACCAUAAAACAAAGACUCAUUACUACUCCUAGUGGUGGAUCACUCGGCUCGCAGGUCGAUGAAGAACGCAGCUAGCUGCGAUAGUUGGUGCGAAUUGCAAACACAUUGAGCACUAAACUUUCGAACGCAUAUUGCGCCGUCGGUUUUUCCGUCGGCAGGUCUGUCUGAGGGUUACAAACAAGUACUUGCAAGAUAACGCUAGCAUGUUGCGUUAUUUUGUUUAGCGAGAAGCUCGGUGUGCAUGUGUGAUAUGUGCUAGUGUGUCACACAUGUGUCGUCCUUCUCUGGUUUGUCAUUCUCAUUGAUAUAUAAUCAUCUGAAUCACAAACACGUGCAAGUUGUGUUGGCUGGUGUUGGUUGAUGAUAUAAUAUCAUUUUGCAAUUGCAACCUCAGAUCAGUCCUGAUUACCCGCUGAACUUAAGCAUAUCAGUAAGCGGAGGAAAAGAAACUAACUAUGAUUCCUUUAGUAACAGCGAGUGAACAAGGAAGAGCCCAGCGCUGAAUCUUUCGGUCUAUGACCGCUAAGAAUUGUAGCGUAUAGGUGUAGCUUUCUACGGCCGAUGUAUACUCAAAGUCCCUUUGAUUGGGGCCACAGUCCUGAGAAGGUGCAAGACCUGUACGAGUUGCAUUGUGUUGUAGUCGGUUGCUCCUUGGAGUCGGGUUGCCUGAGAACGCAGCCUGAAUUGGGUGGUAAACUCCAUCUAAGGCUAAAUAGUACUGCGAGUCCGAUAGCAAACAAGUACCGUGAGGGAAAGUUGCAAAGAACUUUGAAGAGAGAGUUCAAGAGUGCGUGAAACCACUGGGAUGGAAACGGAUAGAGUUGACGAAUUGGGCGAUAUUCAGCUGUUUUGCGUGAGCAAAGUGGUGUACUUAUCGUCUGUGUGCGCUGAGAGUCUUGAUUGAACAUUCUAAACCGUCGUAUUUUGUUGCCCGUCGUCUCACGACGAUGGUGUCUUGUGCGUGCGGGUUGGGAUGUUUCGGUUAAGUAUUUUCGGUGUGAAAGUCGACCACCUAUCCGACCCGUCUUGAAACACGGACCAAGGAGUCUAGCGUAUGUGCGAGUCAUUGGGUGGUAAACCUAUUGGCGUAACGAAAGUAAAGGUCGUUUCUUGCGGCUGAUAUGGGAUCCGUGCGGUUUCGAUCGUGCGGCGCACCAUAGCCCUGUCUCGAAGGCUUGCCUUGAGAUGGAGGUAGAGCGCAUGCGCUAGGACCCGAAAGAUGGUGAACUAUACGUGAGCAGGAUGAAGCCGGAGGAAACUCUGGUGGAAGUCCGUAACGGUUCUGACGUGCAAAUCGAUCGUCUGACUUGCGUAUAGGGGCGA